CCGACCACAUCACGUUGAAAUACCGGUUCCCGUACGAUCAUCGAACUUAAGCAACGUUGAACCUGGUCAGUACCUAGAUGGGUGACCGCUCGAGAAUACCAGUUGCUGUAAG